rnacentral:lncRNA from 1 species
GCUAUCCCUAAGGAAAGGUGGAGGUGGAGGAGGAGAGGAUGGGAAAGGAGAGAUGGGUGGCUUAGAGGAGGAGGAGAAGUGAGAGAGGAGGAAGGGAAUGAGUGGAAAGGAGAGUUCACUAACAAAGUGGGUGGAGGUAGAGAGAACCACCAUGGAGGGAGAGAGCUCAUAGAUAGGCUUGAAGGAUGAGGAGGAGGAGG